AAUGAAUACGGAGAUGAUAGGGAUUUAGGAGACAGACUGCAGAGUGAAGAUUACAUCAGAGAGGAAAGCAAGAGAGCAUUAAAUUUGGCAUGUUGAUGGCUCUUCUAGUGAGGAAGUAAUACAUCUUAAUCAUCAAGUUAAGAUGGAUAUUCUUAUCAUGUAAAUAUAAAGCCAUCCUUAUUUGUAACUAUAAUCGGCCAUGAUAGUGACGAAAGCACAUUUGGUUCACAAAGGAAGCUUGGGCAACAAUGAUAUUGGAGUCGCCACUAGAACAAGAGGUGAUUUCCUGUGCAUCCCUAAACCAAACUGCUCUUCCAUGUCAAUAUCUUCUUU
rnacentral:lncRNA from 1 species